GAUGAAGAACGCAGCGAAAUGCGAUAAGUAAUGUGAAUUGCAGAAUUCAGUGAAUCAUCGAAUCUUUGAACGCACAUUGCGCCCGUCAGUAUUCUGGCGGGCAUGCCUGUUCGAGCGUCAUUACGCCCCUCAAGGCCCCUGUGGACUUGGUGUUGGGGAUCGGCGAGGCUGGUUUUCCAGCACAGCCGUCCCUUAAAUUAAUUGGCGGUCUCGCCGUGGCCCUCCUCUGCGCAGUAGUAAAACACUCGCAACAGGAGCCCGGCGCGGUCCACUGCCGUAAAACCCCCCAACUUUUUAUAGUUGACCUCGAAUCAGGUAGGACUACCCGCUGAACUUAAGCAUAUCAAUAAGCGGAGGA
rnacentral:misc_RNA from 1 species